GCUUACGGCCAUACCAGCCUGAAUACACCCGAUCUCGUCUGAUCUCGGAAGCUAAGCAGGGUCGGGCCUGGUUAGUACUUGGAUGGGAGACCGCCUGGGAAUACCAGGUGCUGUAAGCU
rnacentral:rRNA from 1 species